CUCCCUCAUGGGGGGGCAGGUCUGGUCCCGGCAGCCGCGGAAAUUCCAGCACCAAAAGCGUAUAUUAAAGUUGUUGCUGUUAAAAAGCUUGUAGUUGAACCUUGGGUCGGGCUGGCCGGUCCGCCUCACCGCGAGUACUGGUCCGGCUGGACCUUUCCUUCUGGGGAACCUCAUGGCCUUCACGGGCUGUGGGGGGAACCAGGACUUUUACUGUGAAAAAAUUAGAGUGUUCAAAGCAGGCCUUUGCUCGAAUACAUUAGCAUGGAAUAAUAGAAUAGGACGUGCGGUUCUAUUUUGUUGGUUUCUAGGACCGCCGUAAUGAUUAAUAGGGAUAGUCGGGGGCGUCAGUAUUCAGCUGUCAGAGGUGAAAUUCUUGGAUUUGCUGAAGACUAACUACUGCGAAAGCAUUCGCCAAGGAUGUUUUCAUUAAUCAGGGAACGAAAGUUAGGGGAUCGAAGACGAUCAGAUACCGUCGAGUCUUAUAUC
rnacentral:rRNA from 2 species